AUAAUGGAAAAAUCCAAACAGAAAAAAAAAUCAAAUUGGAUCUCGUAAAGAAAUACAACUCAGCUAAGUUUGCCAGAACAAUUCUGUUCUAUGUAGGAAUGCACCUCCUAACAACAAAAUCUGAAGACCCCCACCACAGCCACACACCCACAGGCACAGACACAGAGCUGAAUGUGCACUGAAGGAAAAUCAGACCAGAACUUGAUACAGAACCUCACUAACCCCAUGGGAGGCAGACACUCUGACCUGCCAGGCCCUGACCUCUGCCUGGAAGCCUAGCCACUGGUGCCAAGACUCUAGAAGGACUCUUAGGCUCUUCAAAGAAGUUGGGGCCUCUGUAUGCAGGAGCUUCACCAAGAAGAAAACUUAGACAAGUCUUCAUUGGUUUUGUUGCUUUAAGCAUUUUUCGGCACUUGUUUGUUUCUGUUGAAUACUUUCUACUCAUGAAGAGUUGUAAGUUCGCUUUCUAAGUUUGUACUCACUGGUUUCUUCUCUCCCUUGUCUGCAAGAUCUUCAAUUUUAAGCAUCUGUUCCUUGAAAUGAAAACAGUAUUUUUAAAAAGCC
ensembl:antisense Gm16133 predicted gene 16133